UACGGGGGGAGCAAGCGUUGUUCGGAUUUACUGGGCGUAAAGGGCGCGUAGGCGGCCACCGCAAGUCAGUUGUGAAAGCUCUGGGCUUAACCCAGAAAGGUCAGCUGAUACUGCGGGGCUAGAGUGCAGAAGGGGCAACUGGAAUUCUCGGUGUAGCGGUGAAAUGCGUAGAUAUCGAGAGGAACACCAAUGGCGAAAGCAGGUAACUGGACUAUUACUGACACUCAGCUGCGAAAGCUAGGGGAGCAAACAGG
rnacentral:rRNA from 1 species